UAAGUUAGAAAGGGCGCACGGUGGAUGCCUUGACACUAGGAGUCGAUGAAGGACGGGACUAACGCCGAUAUGCUUCGGGGAGCUGUAAGUAAGCUUUGAUCCGAAGAUUUCCGAAUGGGGAAACCCACCAUACGUAAUGGUAUGGUAUCCUUAUCUGAAUACAUAGGGUAAGGAAGACAGACCCAGGGAACUGAAACAUCUAAGUACCUGGAGGAAGAGAAAGCAAAUGCGAUUUCCUGAGUAGCGGCGAGCGAAACGGAACAUAGCCCAAACCAAGAGGCUUGCCUCUUGGGGUUGUAGGACAUUCUAUACGGAGUUACAAAGGAACGAGGUAGACGAAGCGACCUGGAAAGGUCCGUCGUAGAGGGUAACAACCCCGUAGUCGAAACUUCGUUCUCUCUUGAAUGUAUCCUGAGUACGGCGGAACACGUGAAAUUCCGUCGGAAUCUGGGAGGACCAUCUCCCAAGGCUAAAUACUCCCUAGUGAUCGAUAGUGAACCAGUACCGUGAGAGAAAGGUGAAAAGCACCCCGGAAGGGGAGUGAAAGAGAUCCUGAAACCGUGUGCCUACAAAUAGUCAGAGCCCGUUAACGGGUGAUGGCGUGCCUUUUGUAGAAUGAACCGGCGAGUUACGAUCCCGUGCGAGGUUAAGCUGAAGAGGCGGAGCCGCAGCGAAAGCGAGUCUGAAUAGGGCGUUUAGUACGUGGUCGUAGACCCGAAACCAGGUGAUCUACCCAUGUCCAGGGUGAAGUUCAGGUAACACUGAAUGGAGGCCCGAACCCACGCACGUUGAAAAGUGCGGGGAUGAGGUGUGGGUAGCGGAGAAAUUCCAAUCGAACCUGGAGAUAGCUGGUUCUCCCCGAAAUAGCUUUAGGGCUAGCCUUAAGUGUAAGAGUCUUGGAGGUAGAGCACUGAUUGGACUAGGGGUCCUCAUCGGAUUACCGAAUUCAGUCAAACUCCGAAUGCCAAUGACUUAUCCUUAGGAGUCAGACUGCGAGUGAUAAGAUCCGUAGUCAAAAGGGAAACAGCCCAGACCGCCAGCUAAGGUCCCAAAGUGUGUAUUAAGUGGAAAAGGAUGUGGAGUUGCUUAGACAACUAGGAUGUUGGCUUAGAAGCAGCCACCAUUUAAAGAGUGCGUAAUAGCUCACUAGUCGAGUGACUCUGCGCCGAAAAUGUACCGGGGCUAAAUACACCACCGAAGCUGCGGAUUGAUACCAAUGGUAUCAGUGGUAGGGGAGCGUUCUAAGGACAGUGAAGUCAGACCGGAAGGACUGGUGGAGUGCUUAGAAGUGAGAAUGCCGGUAUGAGUAGCGAAAGACGGGUGAGAAUCCCGUCCACCGAAUGCCUAAGGUUUCCUGAGGAAGGCUCGUCCGCUCAGGGUUAGUCAGGACCUAAGCCGAGGCCGACAGGCGUAGGCGAUGGACAACAGGUUGAUAUUCCUGUACCACCUCUUUAUCGUUUGAGCAAUGGAGGGACGCAGAAGGAUAGAAGAAGCGUGCGAUUGGUUGUGCACGUCCAAGCAGUUAGGCUGAUAAGUAGGCAAAUCCGCUUAUCGUGAAGGCUGAGCUGUGAUGGGGAAGCUCCUUAUGGAGCGAAGUCUUUGAUUCCCCGCUGCCAGGAAAAGCUUCUAGCGAGAUAAAAGGUGCCUGUACCGCAAACCGACACAGGUAGGCGAGGAGAGAAUCCUAAGGUGUGCGAGAGAACUCUGGUUAAGGAACUCGGCAAAAUGACCCCGUAACUUCGGGAGAAGGGGUGCUUUCUUAACGGAAAGCCGCAGUGAAUAGGCCCAAGCGACUGUUUAGCAAAAACACAGCUCUCUGCGAAGCCGUAAGGCGAAGUAUAGGGGUGACACCUGCCCGGUGCUGGAAGGUUAAGGAGAGGGGUUAGCGUAAGCGAAGCUCUGAACUGAAGCCCCAGUAAACGGCGGCCGUAACUAUAACGGUCCUAAGGUAGCGAAAUUCCUUGUCGGGUAAGUUCCGACCCGCACGAAAGGUGUAACGAUUUGGGCACUGUCUCAACCAGAGACUCGGUGAAAUUAUAGUACCUGUGAAGAUGCAGGUUACCCGCGACAGGACGGAAAGACCCCGUGGAGCUUUACUGUAGCCUGAUAUUGAAUUUUGGUACAGUUUGUACAGGAUAGGCGGGAGCCUUUGAAACCGGAGCGCUAGCUUCGGUGGAGGCGCUGGUGGGAUACCGCCCUGACUGUAUUGAAAUUCUAACCUACGGGUCUUAUCGACCCGGGAGACAGUGUCAGGUGGGCAGUUUGACUGGGGCGGUCGCCUCCUAAAGUGUAACGGAGGCGCCCAAAGGUUCCCUCAGAAUGGUUGGAAAUCAUUCGUAGAGUGCAAAGGCAUAAGGGAGCUUGACUGCGAGACCUACAAGUCGAGCAGGGACGAAAGUCGGGCUUAGUGAUCCGGUGGUUCCGCAUGGAAGGGCCAUCGCUCAACGGAUAAAAGCUACCCCGGGGAUAACAGGCUUAUCUCCCCCAAGAGUCCACAUCGACGGGGAGGUUUGGCACCUCGAUGUCGGCUCAUCGCAUCCUGGGGCUGUAGUCGGUCCCAAGGGUUGGGCUGUUCGCCCAUUAAAGCGGUACGCGAGCUGGGUUCAGAACGUCGUGAGACAGUUCGGUCCCUAUCCGUCGUGGGCGUAGGAAAUUUGAGAGGAGCUGUCCUUAGUACGAGAGGACCGGGAUGGACGCACCGCUGGUGUACCAGUUGUUCUGCCAAGGGCAUAGCUGGGUAGCUAUGUGCGGAAGGGAUAAGUGCUGAAAGCAUCUAAGCAUGAAGCCCCCCUCAAGAUGAGAUUUCCCAUAGCGUAAGCUAGUAAGAUCCCUGAAAGAUGAUCAGGUUGAUAGGUUCGAGGUGGAAGCAUGGUGACAUGUGGAGCUGACGAAUACUAAUAGAUCGAGGACUUAACCA
rnacentral:rRNA from 1 species